GAUGAAGAACGUAGCGAAAUGCGAUAAGUAAUGUGAAUUGCAGAAUUCAGUGAAUCAUCGAAUCUUUGAACGCACAUUGCGCCCGCCAGUAUUCUGGCGGGCAUGCCUGUUCGAGCGUCAUUACAACCCUCAGGCCCCCGGGCCUGGCGUUGGGGAUCGGCGGAAGCCCCCUGCGGGCACAACGCCGUCCCCCAAAUACAGUGGCGGUCCCGCCGCAGCUUCCAUUGCGUAGUAGCUAACACCUCGCAACUGGAGAGCGGCGCGGCCACGCCGUAAAACACCCAACUUCUGAAUGUUGACCUCGAAUCAGGUAGGAAUACCCGCUGAACUUAAGCAUAUCAAUACGCGGAGGA
rnacentral:misc_RNA from 1 species